rnacentral:lncRNA from 1 species
AGGUAGUNUACGUUGAUCAGCCUGAAGGUUUUGUGACCGGCGAGCGUGGUCUAAAGUGUCGGUUGUUGAAGGCGUUGUACGGCUUACGGCAAGCCAGCCGGGCUUGGUAUGUUAAAUUGGUAAAUAAGCUACGGGAAAUGGGCUACACGGUCUCAGACGCGGACCCCGGCUUGUUUAUCAAGUGUCAAGGCACUGACGUUGUUGAGUUGCUUAUCCAUGUUGACGAUCUGUUGAUUGGGAGUGACUCUAAGGAUCUAAUAGCCCAGUCAAAGAAAGAACUGGCGAAGGAUUUCGAUUUGCGUGAUUUAGGCGCGGUCUCGUUCUUUUUGGGGAUGGAGGUUAUGCGUGAUAAAACCGCCGGGACCCUUAAAAUAUCGCAAAAGAAGUAUGCAGCGGAGUUGGUUGCAAGGUUUGAUAUGGCCGAUGCUAAGUCCGCGGCUAUUCCUAUGCAGCCGUCAUUAGUAUUGCAGCGGGAGCCCGUUGAUGAAGAACUGUUGCUGGACGCUAGCAAGUUUCGAUCUUUGGUUGGUGGUUUAAUGUACCUUGCAGUCUGUACAAGGCCUGAUAUCGCGCAGGCUGUCUAUAAACUCGCACGUUUUAUGUCGAAGCCUGCCGUUUCACAUUGGGAGGCUGCCAAGUCCGUCUUGCGGUACGUUAAGAGCACAUUAGCGUAUGGUAUUGUUUUUUGCGGUUCGCAGUCUUUGGUGGGGUAUGCGGAUUCUGACUGGGCCAGUGAUCCAGAUAGUCGGCGAUCCACCACCGGCUAUGUCUUUAUUCUGAAUGGAGGCGCCAUAAGUUGGAAGAGCAGGCUACAACCUACUGUCGCUGCAUCGUCGGUUGAAGCCGAGUACAUGGCUGCUGCGUCAGCAACGCGGGAGGCAGUUUGGUUGCGUAAGUUGAUGAGGGAUUUGGGCUACGAGGUACGGGCCGUUGAGAUCAAGGACGAUAGUCAAGGUGCUAUAGCCCUGAUCCGCAACCCCAUCACGUCAGAGCGGUCAAAGCACAUAGACGUGAUCCACCACUUUGUUCGAGAAAAGGAGAGUUCGGGUAGUGUAUCGUUCCAGUAUUGCCCUUCUCACGAUAUGGUUGCAGAUGUGCUGACGAAGCCGUUGGCUUUGGUCAAGUUUUCGAAAUUCCGAGAGUGCAUGGGAGUUCGUUGAGUUUUCUUCUGGGGUGUGCCAGAGUUCUGUCCGCGGGGGAGUGUUGAUAUCUCGUCCAGAACUCCUGCAUAUCGUAGUUUGGCGGAUACNNNNNNNNNNNNNNNNNNNNNNNNNNNNNNNNNNNNNNNNNNNNNNNNNNUAUCAAGUGUCAAGGCACUGACGUUGUUGAGUUGCUUAUCCAUGUUGACGAUCUGUUGAUUGGGAGUGACUCUAAGGAUCUAAUAGCCCAGUCAAAGAAAGAACUGGCGAAGGAUUUCGAUUUGCGUGAUUUAGGCGCGGUCUCGUUCUUUUUGGGGAUGGAGGUUAUGCGUGAUAAAACCGCCGGGACCCUUAAAAUAUCGCAAAAGAAGUAUGCAGCGGAGUUGGUUGCAAGGUUUGAUAUGGCCGAUGCUAAGUCCGCGGCUAUUCCUAUGCAGCCGUCAUUAGUAUUGCAGCGGGAGCCCGUUGAUGAAGAACUGUUGCUGGACGCUAGCAAGUUUCGAUCUUUGGUUGGUGGUUUAAUGUACCUUGCAGUCUGUACAAGGCCUGAUAUCGCGCAGGCUGUCUAUAAACUCGCACGUUUUAUGUCGAAGCCUGCCGUUUCACAUUGGGAGGCUGCCAAGUCCGUCUUGCGGUACGUUAAGAGCACAUUAGCGUAUGGUAUUGUUUUUUGCGGUUCGCAGUCUUUGGUGGGGUAUGCGGAUUCUGACUGGGCCAGUGAUCCAGAUAGUCGGCGAUCCACCACCGGCUAUGUCUUUAUUCUGAAUGGAGGCGCCAUAAGUUGGAAGAGCAGGCUACAACCUACUGUCGCUGCAUCGUCGGUUGAAGCCGAGUACAUGGCUGCUGCGUCAGCAACGCGGGAGGCAGUUUGGUUGCGUAAGUUGAUGAGGGAUUUGGGCUACGAGGUACGGGCCGUUGAGAUCAAGGACGAUAGUCAAGGUGCUAUAGCCCUGAUCCGCAACCCCAUCACGUCAGAGCGGUCAAAGCACAUAGACGUGAUCCACCACUUUGUUCGAGAAAAGGAGAGUUCGGGUAGUGUAUCGUUCCAGUAUUG